CUGUCCAUCUGCUGUCCUUAAAGUCUCCAUGCAGUCUUUGAGGUGAAUACAAAGGCAAACUCAACGGAGUCACCCUGACUUCUUUCAAUCCACCAAAAUGAUGUCACUCUGUAAAGAAUCAGGAAGAUACGAAUACAAUUGGCUCUCAGAAGCUGGUGUGAUCUGUCUUCAAUACAACAUUGGCUGUCUGUUUUCAAAGGCUACAGCUAUCAAAUGGUCACUUGACAAGGCUGACUCACAGAGAGGAAGGAAAGCCAGAAAGUUGUAGAAAGGAAAAUGCUAAAGAAGAGGAAGAGGGAAUAAGAAACAGAAAGGAGAAGAAAACAGAAUAAAAGGUAAAGUUAUAAAAGAGAUGUGAUGCUUGUUGGUAGAGAGAGGCUUCACAAAAACUCUCAUGCCAUCCUUGUUCUCAAAGUUAUUUUUGCCCUCGACUUUAUCACAGACGAAGUAUAUCACUUCAGCACAAGGUGUCGCUUCUUCAGUGCGUUUCAGUGCAAGAUCUCCUUUUUAUUUUUUUAAUUACUAGUUUUGCAUGGCCGAGAUUUCACCUUUUCCUACCUAUCCAUUCUCCAGUUUGCUAGGUCACUAUUUUGAGGGCCCUAAACUGUACCAAGGGCCCUUAAUGGCAAGCUAAGUGCCUGUUGUCUCUCUCAGCUGGAAGCUACAGGGAGUACUCUCUUCUGAUGAUUUUAGAAGCACCCUC
rnacentral:lncRNA from 1 species